AGGAAGAGAUGCAAAGGACGAAUUUGGAGUGGUUUUCUUUCAAGGAAAAAAUGUAAACGAGGACCAGGAGAAGAUUAAACAUAAUAAGCAGCUACCUUACUCGGGAAUAUAAUUCUGGAAAUGAACCCAGAAGAUGAAGCUGAAGAGAUGGUGCAAAUAUUGAUCUUGACUCACAAAGAAAUCGAAAAUGUGUUGCGUUAAACGCACCUACUCGCCAGGUGAUUUACUAUUCUGCUUUUAUAGAUAACCUUAUAGCUAUCAGAGAAAUAGCAAUGAAACUCUAGAGAAUUCUAUUGCUCUAUUUCCCAAUGUAGUGGUGCUUUAAUUCUUUAGGGAUCAGGUUAUGUAUGCCAUUUUUUACAUAUUCAAACAGGUAUGGAUAUUUUGCGGGCUCCUCUCUUCAGAGAUCCGAUUUUUUUCUAUUUUAGGACGCAGUGUUGUGAUGGUCUGGUUACCUGGUUUUUAUGAUGUUGUUAUGGUGUAGCACUAUCACUAGUGCAUUAGACUGAGAUUAGUUGGUUACAUUUUAAAAUCUAACUUCAUGGUGCAUUUAAAGACACUUUGUUCUUUAUUGUGAAAAUGUCAUACUUGCAUCAAUUUAUGGCUCAUGCUUUUUUUUUUUAACUAGAUGAGAGUUCUGAUUCGUUCUAUUCAUUUAAGCUCUGGACCAUGUGAAAUCCCAGUGUGUUUUGUUUUGACUGCAGACAAUCUUUUGACCUGUUGAUGGGAUUGUUGAUUCCAACAAAUUAAAACCUCGUGAUUUAGUUGACAGUUACCUGAUCUUGGACACACUCUACCUGAUCUUGGACACACUCUACCAUCUGGGUACGAUUCUAGAGUCGAGGCAAUGGACGUUGAUGAAAAACAUUAGAGGGCUGGAGAAGCAGGCAAGUCUCUAGCUUUCUCUAGGCAUGCCUUAUAUGAACAAUGAACAUGCAUUUGUUUUCGUCACAUAAUUGAGCAUGUAUCUACCCAUUUAUCAUACAAUUCCACACAUGUUCUUUUUAUGCAUAACUUUCAUUUUAGACCAUAAAAUACAAUUUUAGUGAUUUGAAGUUGAAUGUAUAAUUUCAAUCGUGUUAUCU